GUUUAAUGCCAGUUAAUCGUAGUUCAAUGUCUGAUGGUACUUAAAUGUCUGAUGGUAGUUUUUUCCAAGUCUUUUGUCCUAAUCUUUCUUUUUUUUUCCCCUGUUCGUAGUUUGUUCGUAGUUUUGUUUGUUUUCUACUAAGAAUAAAGUGCCAUAUUCUAAGCCGGAUGGUAGAAUUCAGAGACUUGAUUAAAGACUGUGUGUGCGCGCUUUAGUAUUUUUGACAGGAAAGGUAGUAUGCGGUAGGAUUGGUACUUUUAGCUGUCGGCCGCAGGCCGAGUCAGUCAGGCUCAGAGAAGCGAUUACCGACGGUUGAAAUGUUAUCGGUAAAGGAAGAAUAAUGAGUUGCGCCACUGAUGUUUUGAUCAAUAGUGUUUAAACUGGAGGAGAAAGAGAGCGCAGCUGGUGCGGUGUUUUGUGGACAGAUUUCAGUCAGGGCUAGUACUUAC